AAACAGACAUAAAAAGACCAAACAAAAACAGGCAGCAGGAGAGAGUACAUCAUUCAAUAAAUAUGAGUUUAUGGGCAUAGUCACUAUACUUUCAAGGUCAGAAGAAAAACAACCAAAGAAGGAGAUGUUUUCUUGUUGAAGGCUCAUGCAUGACUGCUUGUAAUAUCCCGUAUUAUAAUGGGUUUAAAUGGGGCAAGAGCUCCAUCGGGAAUGAUGCUUCGAAAGGGAAGUUAGAGGAAUGACAGCCUUAUUGAAGAAGCAAAUCAUCACAUUAAAACUGUAAAAUGAAGCCGUCUAUGUCAUUACGGUGACAAAUACUGUGAAAAUGGUCGUUCUUAUUAUGUGCUUAUGCGCAAACAAAUGAUUAGAUGUCGCUUAUUUCUGUGGAGAAAAUGUGAUGCUAUUUAUGUGAUGGCAUCAUCAUACAUUGUACCAAACUGAAUUCAUGGCAGCAAAGUCUUUGGCAUAGUUAUACAAAUCCUUGGCAAACAUGAUUUGGAUUUAAAGAUGGAAAAACAGAGCAUGUCUAUUGUAGUUCACAAACCUGCCAAUCAUCUGAAUCCCUCGGACUCAUUGUUCACACCUACGAGGCGACUGUAUGUCGCAAAGAGCCAUAACGUGUCUUGCAUCUGCAUAGAGACCAUAGAGAAUUGAUUUUUAAUCAUCCAUAUCAAUGUAAAAUUAACAGGCACCAUUGCUGGCCAGUAUAUGGAAAUAAUUACAUUUUACAUUACUUACAGCACUGUACAGUAGCUGCCAUGAACAUACUUUUUUUAAUCACAUGCAACUGUCACAU